UACGAAGGGGGCUAGCGUUGCUCGGAAUCACUGGGCGUAAAGCGCACGUAGGCGGAUUGUUAAGUCGGGGGUGAAAUCCUGGAGCUCAACUCCAGAACUGCCUUCGAUACUGACGAUCUCGAGUCCGGGAGAGGUGAGUGGAACUCCGAGUGUAGAGGUGAAAUUCGUAGAUAUUCGGAAGAACACCAGUGGCGAAGGCGGCUCACUGGCCCGGUACUGACGCUGAGGUGCGAA
rnacentral:rRNA from 1 species